rnacentral:rRNA from 1 species
AACCGGGGGAACUGAAACAUCUAAGUACCCCGAGGAAAAGAAAUCAACCGAGAUUCCCCCAGUAGCGGCGAGCGAACGGGGAGCAGCCCAGAGCCUGAAUCAGUGUGUGUGUUAGUGGAAGCGUCUGGAAAGGCGUGCGAUACAGGGUGACAGCCCCGUACACAAAAAUGCACAUACUGUGAGCUCGAUGAGUAGGGCGGGACACGUGGUAUCCUGUCUGAAUAUGGGGGGACCAUCCUCCAAGGCUAAAUACUCCUGACUGACCGAUAGUGAACCAGUACCGUGAGGGAAAGGCGAAAAGAACCCCGGCGAGGGGAGUGAAAAAGAACCUGAAACCGUGUACGUACAAGCAGUGGGAGCACGCUUAGGCGUGUGACUGCGUACCUUUUGUAUAAUGGGUCAGCGACUUAUAUUCUGUAGCAAGGUUAACCGAAUAGGGGAGCCGAAGGGAAACCGAGUCUUAACUGGGCGUUAAGUUGCAGGGUAUAGACCCGAAACCCGGUGAUCUAGCCAUGGGCAGGUUGAAGGUUGGGUAACACUAACUGGAGGACCGAACCGACUAAUGUUGAAAAAUUAGCGGAUGACUUGUGGCUGGGGGUGAAAGGCCAAUCAAACCGGGAGAUAGCUGGUUCUCCCCGAAAGCUAUUUAGGUAGCGCCUCGUGAAUUCAUCUCCGGGGGUAGAGCACUGUUUCGGCAAGGGGGUCAUCCCGACUUACCAACCCGAUGCAAACUGCGAAUACCGGAGAAUGUUAUUACGGGAGACACACGGCGGGUGCUAACGUCCGUCGUGAAGAGGGAAACAACCCAGACCGCCAGCUAAGGUCCCAAAGUCAUGGUUAAGUGGGAAACGAUGUGGGAAGGCCCAGACAGCCAGGAUGUUGGCUUAGAAGCAGCCAUCAUUUAAAGAAAGCGUAAUAGCUCACUGGUCGAGUCGGCCUGCGCGGAAGAUGUAACGGGGCUAAACCAUGCACCGAAGCUGCGGCAGCGACGCUUAUGCGUUGUUGGGUAGGGGAGCGUUCUGUAAGCCUGUGAAGGUGUGCUGUGAGGUAUGCUGGAGGUAUCAGAAGUGCGAAUGCUGACAUAAGUAACGAUAAAGCGGGUGAAAAGCCCGCUCGCCGGAAGACCAAGGGUUCCUGUCCAACGUUAAUCGGGGCAGGGUGAGUCGACCCCUAAGGCGAGGCCGAAAGGCGUAGUCGAUGGGAAACAGGUUAAUAUUCCUGUACUUGGUGUUACUGCGAAGGGGGGACGGAGAAGGCUAUGUUGGCCGGGCGACGGUUGUCCCGGUUUAAGCGUGUAGGCUGGUUUUCCAGGCAAAUCCGGAAAAUCAAGGCCGAGGCGUGAUGACGAGGCACUACGGUGCUGAAGCAACAAAUGCCCUGCUUCCAGGAAAAGCCUCUAAGCAUCAGGUAACAUCAAAUCGUACCCCAAACCGACACAGGUGGUCAGGUAGAGAAUACCAAGGCGCUUGAGAGAACUCGGGUGAAGGAACUAGGCAAAAUGGUGCCGUAACUUCGGGAGAAGGCACGCUGAUACGUAGGUGAAGCGACUUGCUCGUGGAGCUGAAAUCAGUCGAAGAUACCAGCUGGCUGCAACUGUUUAUUAAAAACACAGCACUGUGCAAACACGAAAGUGGACGUAUACGGUGUGACGCCUGCCCGGUGCCGGAAGGUUAAUUGAUGGGGUUAGCGCAAGCGAAGCUCUUGAUCGAAGCCCCGGUAAACGGCGGCCGUAACUAUAACGGUCCUAAGGUAGCGAAAUUCCUUGUCGGGUAAGUUCCGACCUGCACGAAUGGCGUAAUGAUGGCCAGGCUGUCUCCACCCGAGACUCAGUGAAAUUGAACUCGCUGUGAAGAUGCAGUGUACCCGCGGCAAGACGGAAAGACCCCGUGAACCUUUACUAUAGCUUGACACUGAACAUUGAGCCUUGAUGUGUAGGAUAGGUGGGAGGCUUUGAAGUGUGGACGCCAGUCUGCAUGGAGCCGACCUUGAAAUACCACCCUUUAAUGUUUGAUGUUCUAACGUGGACCCGUGAUCCGGGUUGCGGACAGUGUCUGGUGGGUAGUUUGACUGGGGCGGUCUCCUCCUAAAGAGUAACGGAGGAGCACGAAGGUUGGCUAAUCCUGGUCGGACAUCAGGAGGUUAGUGCAAUGGCAUAAGCCAGCUUGACUGCGAGCGUGACGGCGCGAGCAGGUGCGAAAGCAGGUCAUAGUGAUCCGGUGGUUCUGAAUGGAAGGGCCAUCGCUCAACGGAUAAAAGGUACUCCGGGGAUAACAGGCUGAUACCGCCCAAGAGUUCAUAUCGACGGCGGUGUUUGGCACCUCGAUGUCGGCUCAUCACAUCCUGGGGCUGAAGUAGGUCCCAAGGGUAUGGCUGUUCGCCAUUUAAAGUGGUACGCGAGCUGGGUUUAGAACGUCGUGAGACAGUUCGGUCCCUAUCUGCCGUGGGCGCUGGAGAACUGAGGGGGGCUGCUCCUAGUACGAGAGGACCGGAGUGGACGCAUCACUGGUGUUCGGGUUGUCAUGCCAAUGGCACUGCCCGGUAGCUAAAUGCGGAAGAGAUAAGUGCUGAAAGCAUCUAAGCACGAAACUUGCCCCGAGAUGAGUUCUCCCUGACCCUUUAAGGGUCCUGAAGGAACGUUGAAGACGACGACGUUGAUAGGCCGGGUGUGUAAGCGCAGCGAUGCGUUGAGCUAACCGGUACUAAUGAACCGUGAGGCUUAACCUUACAACGCCGAAG